AAAUUAUUAAUCGCAAUUAAAAUAUACAUCAUUUUUUAUAAUUGAAUGGUAUGAUUAAAAAAUCAGGAGUUAAUUUAAAUUUAAUAACGAAUCACAAAAAUGGGUGAGAUAGUGAAAAAAUAAUACAAUACAUUGAAGAGUAUAAAAAUAAUAAUACAACAUGGUAUGGAUGGUUGGAUAGUUUGUUUGGUGUUUUGAAUAAUGUGGCGGAGAGGAGAGAGUCUUCUUGCUCGGUAUUGAUGGGUUAUCAAUGAUUUUGAGAUACGGCGGCAACCUACUAAUUUGUCAGCUCUUCAGUUUUUUGUCAACUAUACGAUUCUCAUCUCUUAACUGGUCUAUGGUUCACCUCUCGCUUCUUGUUGAUUUUAAAUGCAACCCAUCUUUUUUUUAAAAAAAAAAGCAUAAAAAUAUCAUCUUUGUAGUCAGAAAAGAGAAUUUGUACCAACGGUAACAUUUUUUGUUUUUUUGAAUAAAAAGAUAAAGUGAAAUUGUGAAAAUAAACCAAAAAGUUGAGAGAACUCUAGAUGGACAUUGGAUAGGAGAGGCAAAAAUGAGCGCACAGAGACAAAAAGAAAGAAGAUUGAUAGCAGACAAAACUCGCAAUUCUAAUAAGUUAAAAGGCGAAAGAAAUUCAUAAAAUUCCCUUUUAACUACGUAACUUGUACGAGGGAAAAGCUUCAAAAUCAAAUUUUGGUUUUCAGGAAAAGGGAAACAGAAACAAAGGAAANNN
rnacentral:lncRNA from 1 species